rnacentral:lncRNA from 1 species
AAACAUCCCAUGAACACAUUUUGACAUGAGGAAGUCCUUUCUGUCAACCCCAGUAGGUGACACUGUGUUGAGAUAUUUGAUCACUAUCUUGGAAAUGAUUGCUUUCCAAUGUUGGCUAGCCUUAAACACUACCUGUGUUAACAUUGACCAGACCAUGGUGUUAUCUAAACUUUUGUAACUGUGCAAUAACUUACUCUUUACCCUAUAUGUCCCAGGGUCAAGUGACUUAGACCACCUUCAAUAGUGUUAUAACUCUAAGGACCCUUUUUCUACACAGAGUUUCAAAUAUAGAAAAAGUGCUUUGGAAAAAAAAAUCUGAAUUCUCCCUCUAAUUACAUUAGGCCUAAUCGUUUUCUCUACUAAUUGAUGUGUUUUCUCCAUAUUUUCCCUAAAGUUCCCUUUUUUUAAAAAAAAAUAAAAAUUCCAGGCCCAGAAUUUGGGGUCAGGCUGAUGCAGUAAUGGACAGUAUAAAUCCAUGAUAGCUUUUUGACAGCUUAUGAUUAAUUCAUGUCUAAAAGCUUCAAAGUUAAAUGAGAUGAUGGAAGCCAUUCUAAGAAGUUAUAUCUAAUUGAUUAAUAAUGUGCUCUGAGGGUGUUUGUUGCUUUAUUGUAUUUAGAAGACCAAGCAGGAUGGUGUGUGGCUCAGGCAAGGAUGACCAAUAACCUCUCAGCUUUCAGUACAAAGAUAAUUAGGAAAACUUAGAACGUGUCUUAAUGAGUUUAAAUCUUCAACUCGCCUGUGCUGUAAACAGGGAUGCUUUUGUUUCAAGGAAAGGAAACGUUGCUAUGAAAGUAGAAAAGACUGUAUAUUUACACGUGAUGUCCAGUUCUGAUGAUGUUAUAGUCAUCUAUCCCCUGAGCUAAACUAUAAGUAAUAAUGUGUAAUCAACCGCCGCUGUGAAAUGGAUGACGACCAACUAAUUUAUCAGCCAAAAGUUAAAAGGCUCUAUGUCUACCAAAGGCUUCUCGUAAGAUUUUUAUGACAGUUUGUCACAGGUCAAAGGUUUCUGAAUAAUGCUUGAGGGGAAACUUAUCUAAAUAGAGGCAGUAAAGCUAGACACUGGACGAGGUGUUUGUACUUCAAAUGGGACACGUGCAUGGGAAUCUAAGUUUAGUGUAUCACGGCUGCACAUCGCACACCCCUGGCAAGGUCAAGUCAGCGCCAGGGCUGUUGAAACGCUUAUUAAACUGUUUGCACUCACCCCCUGCAUCUGCUGCUCUCAGAGCCACAGAGGAGCCCACUAGGCUCCUCUGACUCACAAAAAUCCCAUGUAGGAACACAUGACAUUUUGUUCUCCUUUUAACACUUCCCCAUCAAAAGGACCAAGCAAGUUUUCACUCAUUAGACUUCUUUAAAUAUAGUACCCAGACACUUUCCAGGUCCGAAUGGAUACGGCAAUGAACCACUAGACAAAUCUUUUUCCUUAUGAAGUUGGCAACCUGUUUUGAUUUAUUUCAAAUUACACUCCUCUUCUUGUUGUUGCUGCUGCUGCUGCUGUUGUUG